GUGGCGGAAACGGGAGAUCUAAGUGCCUUUGGGGUCCUGUACCUGUGGGGCGGGAGCGGUGCUCUCGGUGGCUCUUAGUGUGCCCUAAAAUCCUUGUGUUUUGCUGGGAGUGUGCACAGCUCUGGAGGCCUCCUUCAGACUGACUCAGGAAAUGAUCAGAUUUAGGAUUUUGAUGAAGAAACAUUUAAAAGGGGUGGGGUAUAAUUGAUGAAUAGGGAACAGGCAUAACCAGGUCUCUCGCAGGCCGGAGCGGCUCUCAGAUUUCUUUUGCUUUGGGUUGUUUCCUUUCUACACAGGAGUAUGAAAUCUCUUAAAGAUGAGCCCGAGUAAUUCGGAGUAUAUUUUCAUCCAUAGUAUCAACAAUAAUUUCAGUUCAGUCAUCUCAGCGACAACUUAGACAUUUGGUGAAAACUCAUUUUCAUUUUAUAUGGUAGCAGCAGGUUGUGCAGGACAGGAAGGCUAUACAGUUUUGUGAGGCCUCCUUAAGUAAAAAGUAAAUGCAACACUGUAAAUAUACACUGAGUUAUUGGGACUAGGAAGCCCAAUGAGAGGCCCGCAAGCUUGAGCUUCAGUAGCUUCAGUAUUUGAUGGGCCUGAAUGAAAAUCUGAUGAAACAGAUGUUACUUGAAGCUGAGUGACUUUCUCAGGGUCAAGCAAAUAAGUAAAUGGAGGAGCCAGAAUUAUACCCCAGCCUGAAGCAACUUUCCUGUCAACGACCUAUCUAACCUCUGUCACUAGAAAGCUAUGUGCUGGCAAACUGGCCUCUACAGUUCAAGGUUGGAGAACCCCAGCCAAUGCCCCGAGGGUGGGACAGAACCUAGGCGCCAAGCAGUACCCUCAGGCUGCAAUUUGCUGGACACACAGAGUCCUGUUCUGCAACCUCCCCCUACGUUGUGGGUGAGUGGAACCCAUUAACAUUUAAAAAUAUUUGCAGAAAUCAGAGGGGAAAAAGGUAUUUCUGGAGGGCCAGUACUCCGUGCACUUUCAUGCGUGCCAAAGUUUGCUGGCAUGGCUCAGGCUUUGAUAGAGAACAUCUGGGCGACUGCUGCUGCAGCAUGUAGAUGGGGCGGAGGGCAGGGAACAAAGGGGGCCUGUGAGAGAAUGUUCGAGUGGGGGAAAUGCUCCCCACGAAGGAGGCCUUACUUAAUGUCUAUUCCAUGCUCAGCUGGGGGAGGGGAAUGAGGAGAGGAAUGGAAGGUUUUGCCCUCAUGUGGCCUCGAUAAUGAACACUGGAGACUGAGUGGCAGCAUAGAACUGGCUGGUUGGGCUACAGAGACCCUUAUUUCCACCACUGGACAGAUAUGCAUCUUAGGGUGAAGAUGCAGCCCACAGCAGUCACCACUACCAGUGGCAUCCUAAUGCUGCUGCUUCUCCUAGAGCCUCUUUGUUGGAAGCCAAGGGAACAGAAGACGGAUUGGGGAGGAUGGAGGAUUCUAUUUUCAGUGGACACAGAUUUGUCAUUGUUUCCCCUAUUGCCAGUUCCAUUCAUAUAAACAAGAUUGCAUAUUUUCAAUAGGUAUAUUUCAAACACAAAAGUGCUUUUAUUAACUGAAGGUUAAAGUCAGACUGUUGGAAGUUUAUCAUUUAUGAGUAGCAUUUUGUAUCGGAUUCUUAUUUAUGUAUGUCUUACCUUACUCAGUAUCCAUGUAUAUGUAAGAAAAAUCCAUCUUUAGACAUUUAUCAAAUCAUACCAAUGCUGAUGUAUGAUGGGAACCACUGUAGUUCUUUAUAAGAAUGAAUAAACUAGUACCCCCUUUACUCAGA